GACGAACGCUGGUGGCGUGCUUAACACAUGCAAGUCGAACGGAAAGGCCCUGCUUUUGUGGGGUGCUCGAGUGGCGAACGGGUGAGUAACACGUGAGUAACCUGCCCUUGACUUUGGGAUAACUUCAGGAAGCUGGGGCUAAUACCGGAUAGGAGCUCCUGCUGCAUGGUGGGGGUUGGAAAGUUUCGGCGGUUGGGGAUGGACUCGCGGCUUAUCAGCUUGUUGGUGGGGUAGUGGCUUACCAAGGCUUUGACGGGUAGCCGGCCUGAGAGGGUGACCGGCCACAUUGGGACUGAGAUACGGCCCAGACUCCUACGGGAGGCAGCAGUGGGGAAUAUUGCACAAUGGGCGGAAGCCUGAUGCAGCAACGCCGCGUGCGGGAUGACGGCCUUCGGGUUGUAAACCGCUUUCGCCUGUGACGAAGCGUGAGUGACGGUAAUGGGUAAAGAAGCACCGGCUAACUACGUG
rnacentral:rRNA from 1 species